GGUGGAUUUCUUCUCUGCUCACCUGCUUGGUGUCAUUCAACGCCCUGGAAAAACAUUGAUGGGAGAGACAGGAACUAGGCUGGUGUCUUGUACAUGAUCUCAUCCAAGCCUUCCACAACUCUAAGCCAGAUCCCAGCGGCCAACUGCAGAACCAUUUACAUUAUAGAAGAUGACAGAAAAAGGGUUCUAUAAAACCCACCAACACUGGAUCUGGCACGUAAGGAAGCUCGAUGCUGGUAACUAACAUCAUUCUUCUUGUAUCUAUGCUUAUUUUUCACAUUUGUUAACCAUGUGCUUUUGAUGAAUCCGCAAUAACCAACCUAACAGAUCCCAAACCCAUAUUCUGAUAUGCACUGUCCCAGGAUUUCCACAAUGUGCUAUGCUGAACAAUAGAACACCAACUCUCGACCAUAUAAAUGUAUAUCUACAGCUAAAUAUACUUCUGGAAAACUUUAUUUUGAAAGUAAUUAUAGACUCAGAGGAAACUGGAAAACUAGUAGAAAAAUCCCACAAAACCUUUCCCUAAAAACACGUGGUUGAAUGAAAACUGUUGGCCUCUUUCUCCCUCUUCACAGGGCAAAAAGAGCAGCAAGGGGUUAAGGAACCAGGCAGAGGGACUUCUAGAAAAGCCCAGAGCUCAAGUCUUUCGCAGGCUCUCCUGCCCCCCCAGCUUCAAUUUUAGCCCCAGCAGCAGUAAUAUUACCUAAGUGCCCAACGGAAACUUCUUUCACAUUCCCCCACAGCUUUACAGUGUCCUGUCUCACUGUCUGCCUGUCCUUACUGUGAAGAUUCCCUAGACACCAAUUUUCCUUAUUAAAAACAAAUCAUCCCCAUGUAUUUUUUACAAACAUAUAGCUAUAGUUAGAAAAUGUCUGUUUUCCUUGGAGUUCCUAUAGCUGGUAAUAGUUUAUGAAGAUGGCCCCUGACAUGUUUCUUAAGUCAGUCUGUUCUGCUACUUAACUAAGAAGGAUCAUUCCUUCUGCCUCUCCUCCAACAACCUUCUGCCUCCCUUCUGUCUCACCAUGGACGUGCUACAUGCCAUCUGGGCCUCCAAGGGCAGGGCUGAGACUAACCUCUGUCAUCAGCCUUGCUGCUCAUUUCUUCUUCCUUGUCCUCGUCCUCACUGCUGGAGCUUUCCAUCUUUUCCUUCAUCUGUUCCAGCUGAUCCAAGUUAACCCGUCCAACCAGCUCAAAAUUACGGCUCACCUGAAAAAGGUCCAAAUGAAUAACAGAAUCAUGAGCCACAGACCGAAGAGGGCUCUCCCCGGGGGAGAGAUUUUUCUACCACCACUUUCUCUUGACCGUGUUUUUGGAACCAGGACCAAACAACACCAGUGCCCAAGAAGCUCUUUUCUUCUCUUGGGCUGUUCCAAGGGUGGAUCUGUCCUUUACCCUCUUGUUCCAACAUUUUUAAAGGAACACUGGACCUUCCUCACCAUAUGCAGCAAAAAACACGAGCUCCAGCUGGCAGGAAAUCAAAGUAUCACAAAGCCUGGGGUACAGAGUAGGUGUCCAAUAAUGCUCUUUUUGAGUUGAAUUCAAAGGUGUAACUUUUGUAAACUACCAAAUUUCAAAUACCUCUGGAGGCGAAGAGGCUCUGUGAGUAUCCUGAAAACUAUCACGAGAGUCAGAACCUUCUUCUACAUGAUCUUAUCAGCCUGGAGGCUGUGGGGCCCCAGCUUAAGCCAGAUGACUACUAUUGGACUCCCAACUCCGUAUAUGGAAGACAACACCGUUACUCAAAAAGAGAACAAGGAGCAUGGAUGGGCUUUGAAGUCUGACAGAUCUGAGUUCAAGUUCAGAGUCUGUCAUUAUUAACCACAUGACUGUGGAUCCCACAUAUAAGUGAAAUCAUUUGGUGCUUGUCUUCUCGGUCGCACUUGUUUCACUUGGCAUCCUACUCUCUAGGUACCCCCCUUGCCGCGCCGUGGAGCCACCAUCUUACCUGGAAUAAGG